UACUGUUAAAGGGUUCAUUCUUAUUUUCAGUUUAAAUUCUGCAUUAUAAAUGCUAGCUAUUCCUUCAUCUUUCAAGGGACAGUGGAAGUUGGAACAUGGAAGGUGAAUCUGAAUUAGCAUUAUCUAAAUUUUUAUAAAUGUUUUAAAUGUGGAAAUUAAUUUAACAGAAUCCUGAACUGAAAUUUAAUUCAUUUCAUUUCCUAUUCUACAGUAAUUGAAAAUGUUAAAAGACUGUCAGUGAAAACAAUGUUCUGAAACUGCAAACUCAGUCAAUUAUCCUUGCAUGCAAACAGGCUCAGAUGCAGAAAUAUAAUGGCUUUGCCUCAGGCUGUAUUGUGUCUGCUGAGCAGAACAGUCCGGUAAUGAAAAGAAGCUCUUUAGUUUCUUUUCAGUAACUAAUUGGUGUAUAAGAUCUCUUCCAAAAAGCGUUCGUAUACUGCACUAAAAAUAUAAGUUAAAAUUAAAUGAAAAAAAAAAAAAAAAAAAGCUAAAAAUUAACUAAAUGAACAUAUCUCAGCCUAUGCAUAUAUUUCACAAGUAAUUUCGAACAGCACAGUCAGGUGACUAACCCCAAAGUAUUGUAAUCUGUGUAGCAUGCAUAGAAAAAACUAUUUGGAAAUAAAGUUAAAGUUGCAUAAUCAAGACCAAUAAAAUAAAAUAAAAUAAAAAGUUUCUAAAAGAAAGGUUCAAUUUAAACUUUAAUUUACUCUUGCAAUUGAACUAUGAUAGCAUCUUAAAUAAUGUGAAUGCUGAUGUUGUCAUUAUUCAUUUAUUUAUUUAUUUAUUUAUUUUUCCUGAAGGGUACCUACCUUUUGCUUCCAGUUUGUUCAAUACUGGCGUAAACCAGCCACAUUCUCAAAGCCAUGUUUUUCCUGUGCACUGAAUAAUACAUCUAUUCAGAUGAACAUGAUAAAGGGACAUUUUUAAAAAAUUGCACUCUGUGAAAAUCUAAAGGUUUUACAAGAUGAGCAUGAAUUUGCAUUCAUUCAGUUUUAAAGCAUACAAUAAAAUUCUAAAGUAAUCAUUCAAGAUUUUCAGUACAGAAUUCUUUUCUGGGGUUUUCUAUUGUGGUGAACUUACAAGCAUUCUUGUCUUUACUUACUUUUGUUUCUUCUGUACAGAAUGAAACUCAUUUUUUCAGUUUCUUAACCUAUUCAUUAACUACUUACAUAGUUCUAUCUCAUAGGACAGGUAAAGUGUCCAAUUGUAUGGUCUGAGAGCAGUUUGAUACAAUUAGUAUAUAAGGAAUUGCUGCUUCAAAACAAAAAGAUCCCAUGGUUAUUAUCUACCUAUUCCUGUGUACACAUGUAGUAUACAGAGAGCCAUAGAGUGAGUGGCUUGUUCCCAUGCUGUGUUUUUGCCUGCAACGAAAGUUCCAAGACCCCCAAAUGUAAGAAAAAAAUAUAUGAACUUAGAAUAUAUUUGUCUUAUAAUAGUCCUUAUUGUUAAGGUCAUAAGGUCAUUUACCACUUUUCACUACAAGAUGUUUUUGAUCAUCUAUAAGACUUAUGAAAUGAAGUGGUAAACAAAACAGGUACCAAAUAAUUCAGUAUUUAUGUUUUUGUUUGGUUUUGGCUGUGUCAGAAAAUAAGAGAAAUAUUUUGUUUGGUGAAUUUAAGCAUUGUGUCUCUGAAGAGUUAUAUUAUCCCAUGCUUUGGAGAUUAAAAUGCUGGUAUGUUGGCAUUUGUUCUGCAGUUUGCUGUUUUUCAGUCUCAGGAAAAUCUCCCUGAAUUUGUGAAGAUACAAUUUUUAGACAGGUGGAUAUUAGCUGAGCAAGCACAACUAUAUAAAUGAGCACACCAAAAUAUUUUUUUUUCUUUAAUUAACUCUUGUGGACUUUAAUUAGAAGUCCUGAACUGGGUUGGAGAUUAAUAGUUUGUCCAUCUGUACUA